CAAUUAGGGAGGAAAAGAAACUAACAAGGAUUCCCCUAGUAACGGCGAGUGAACCGGGAAGAGCUCAAAUUUGUAAUCUGGCGUGCUCCGCGCGUCCGAGUUGUAAUCUAUAGAAGCGUUUUCCGUGCCGGACCGUGUCCAAGUCCCUUGGAACAGGGUAUCAAAGAGGGUGACAAUCCCGUACUUGACACGACCCCCGGUGCUCUGUGAUACGUUUUCAACGAGUCGAGUUGUUUGGGAAUGCAGCUCAAAAUGGGUGGUAAAUUCCAUCUAAAGCUAAAUAUUGGCGAGAGACCGAUAGCGAACAAGUACCGUGAGGGAAAGAUGAAAAGCACUUUGGAAAGAGAGUUAAACAGUAUGUGAAAUUGUUAAAAGGGAAACGAUUGAAGUCAGUCGUGUUCAUUGGAUUCAGCUGGUUCUGCCAGUGUAUUUCCUUUGAACGGGUCAACAUCAGUUUGGAUCGGUGGAUAAAGAUGAGAGGAAGGUGGCACCCUCGGGUGUGUUAUAGCCUCUUGUUGCAUACACUGGUCCGGACUGAGGAACGCAGCUCGCCUUUAUGGCCGGGGUUCGCCCACGUCCGAGCUUAGGAUGUUGACAUAAUGGCUUUAAACGACCCGUCUGAACAC
rnacentral:rRNA from 1 species